AGUGAACGCUGGCGGUAGGCCUAACACAUGCAAGUCGAACGGCAGCACAGGAGAGCUUGCUCUCUGGGUGGCGAGUGGCGGACGGGUGAGGAAUACAUCGGAAUCUACUCUGUCGUGGGGGAUAACGUAGGGAAACUUACGCUAAUACCGCAUACGACCUACGGGUGAAAGCAGGGGACCUUCGGGCCUUGCGCGAUUGAAUGAGCCGAUGUCGGAUUAGCUAGUUGGCGGGGUAAAGGCCCACCAAGGCGACGAUCCGUAGAUGGUCUGAGAGGGUGAUCAGGCACACUGGAACUGAGACACGGUCCAGACUCCUACGGGAGGCAGCAGUGGGGAAUAUUGGACCAUGGGCGCAAGCCUGAUCCAGCCAUACCGCGUGGGUGAAGAAGGCCUUCGGGUUGUAAAGCCCUUUUGUUGGGAAAGAAAUCCAGCUGGCUAAUACCCGGUUGGGAUGACGGUACCCAAAGAAUAAGCACCGGCUAACUUCGUGCCAGCCGCCGCGGUAA
rnacentral:rRNA from 1 species